AAUUGUUUUUUUUGUUUUUUGUUUUCUUUUUUUUCUUUUUCUUUCCUGGCUUCCAAGUGAGAAGCAAUGCUAUGAUCCGAAAAAUAAGAAGAAGAAAAAAGAGACAGAAUGAUGCAUAUCCCUCGUAGUUUUCAUAUCAUAUUUCAUAUCUAUGACAUGAGAUCGGAUAUAUUAUCCGAUCCUUUUGAGAAAGAAUACACAAAAAGUAAUUCUUGUUUUUAUGGCCCCUUCCCUCCGCAAUCACACACACACACACGUUACACA
rnacentral:ribozyme from 16 species